UACGUAGGCAGCGAGCGUUGUUCGGAGUUACUGGGCGUAAAGAGUGCGUAGGCGGUUUUCUAAGUUUGGUGUGAAAUCUCCCGGCUCAACUGGGAGGGUGCGCCGAAGACUGGAAGGCUUGAGUAUGGGAGAGGUAAGCGGAAUUCCUGGUGUAGCGGUGAAAUGCGUAGAUAUCAGGAGGAACACCUGCGGUGUAGACGGCUUACUGGACCAUAACUGACGCUGAGGCGCGAAAGCGUGGGGAGCAAACAGG
rnacentral:rRNA from 1 species